ACGAACGCUGGCGGCGUGCUUAACACAUGCAAGUCGAACGGAAAGGCCCGGCUUUUGUGGGGUGCUCGAGUGGCGAACGGGGGAGUAACACGUGAGUAACCUGCCCUUGACUUUGGGAUAACUUCAGGAAACUGGGGCUAAUACCGGAUAGGAGCUCCUGCUGCAUGGUGGGGGUUGGAAAGUUUCGGCGGUUGGGGAUGGACUCGCGGCUUAUCAGCUUGUUGGGGGGGUAGUGGCUUACCAAGGCUUUGACGGGUAGCCGGCCUGAGAGGGUGACCGGCCACAUUGGGACUGAGAUACGGCCCAGACUCCUACGGGAGGCAGCAGUGGGGAAUAUUGCACAAUGGGCGGAAGCCUGAUGCAGCAACGCCGCGUGCGGGAUGACGGCCUUCGGGUUGUAAACCGCUUUCGCCUGUGACGAAGCGUGAGUGACGGUAAUGGGUAAAGAAGCACCGGCUAACUACGUG
rnacentral:rRNA from 1 species